rnacentral:rRNA from 1 species
CUGCGGCCCGAGUGGUGAUCGAUUUUAUUGAGCCUAAAGCGUCCGUAGCCGGACUAGUAAACCCUUGGGUAAAUUGGGCAGCUUAACUGUCCAAAUUCCGAGGGGACUGCUAGUCUUGGGACCGGGAGAGGUCAGAGGUACUCAAGGGGUAGGGGCUAAAUCCUGUAAUCCUUUGGGGACCACCAGUGGCGAAGGCGUCUGACUAGAACGGAUCCGACGGUAAGGGACGAAACCCUGGGGCGCGAACCGGAUUAGAUACCCGAGUAGUCC